UACGUAGGGUGCGAGCGUUGCCCGGAUUUAUUGGGCGUAAAGGGCGCGUAGGCGGCCACGCACGUCCGUUGUGAAAUCGCCCGGCUCAACUGGGCGGGGUCAGCGGAUACGGUGUGGCUCGAGCAAGCUAGGGGGCAAUGGAAUUUCCGGUGUAGCGGUGAAAUGCGUAGAUAUCGGAAGGAACACCAGUGGCGAAAGCGGCUUCCUGGUCCAGCACCGACGUUCAGGCACGAAAGCGUGGGGAGCAAACAGG
rnacentral:rRNA from 1 species